AAAGUAUGAACGCUAAAAGCAACCAGACCAUAACCAUUAACUGCAGAACAAGCCUUAAAACUUGAAAGGAGCCUCUCAAAAGCCCAAAGAAAAACUAGGAUUCAGGGGUGGCACUGGCACUUCCUUUUGUAUGCUGAAUAAAUUUUUGUUUGGGUUAUGAAUUUAUUUUUUCUGUAUCUAUGAUUUGUGGUUCCUAUGGGCUCUCUUCUAAUCAAUCUAAAAGUAAUGUCUCAUUUAUAGUUCUAUGCCUAUUACCUUGCUGUAGUAUCAUGAUUAUAUUCCCCAUCGGCUUUCUUUUGUAUGUUCAUUGUUAACCUCUCUACGUAAAACUGUCUUUUGUUGCAAAGCCUUAAAAUACUUCACAUAGAAAGUGGCUUGAGCUGGGAGUCCUAUAGUUUGGUUGCUGAAAGUAUAUGAUAAAGUGGUUAAUGAUCCUGUGCUCUCUUCCUUUUUCAAUUUUUGGCUAUAUUUCUGCAUUUACUAUAGGACAGGUAGGAAUUGCUAACUUAGAACUUAAUCAUGGUGUAUGGCAUUGGCAGGUGCAUCACUGGGUGAAGGCA
rnacentral:misc_RNA from 1 species